rnacentral:rRNA from 1 species
GUGCCAGCAGCCGCGGUAAUACGUAGGGUGCAAGCGUUGUCCGGAAUUACUGGGCGUAAAGAGCUCGUAGGCGGUUUGUCGCGUCGUCUGUGAAAACCAGCAGCUCAACUGUUGGCUUGCAGGCGAUACGGGCAGACUUGAGUAUUUCAGGGGAGACUGGAAUUCCUGGUGUAGCGGUGAAAUGCGCAGAUAUCAGGAGGAACACCGGUGGCGAAGGCGGGUCUCUGGGAAAUAACUGACGCUGAGGAGCGAAAGCGUGGGUAGCGAACAGGAUUAGAAACCCGAGUAGUCC